CGCUGCAUGGAUCUCUGGGAGUAGUAGUUUCUGUGAAACUCCAUCUACAGUAAACCAGCCACACAUUCGCCCUCCCUGAAGGGGAGAGCCUUCCCCCACUUCUCCUCGAUUUUCUGAGUCUAAGAAAGAGUACAGGAUUCCUAGAGUCUACACGUGCCACUGGUCAGAACCAUGCUUUCACGUCGAUUUUUAGAACAAUGCAGGGAAAGAUGAGAGAAAAAGAGAGGGGAAAAAAUAAAGUUCCAUUCAUUCUUCAAGCAAAUGUCAUCUCCUCCAAAGAUGUUUUUCUAGAUUCCUGGAACUCUUUUGGGUGGAGGUGAAGGGUCUAGCGUGGAAGAGGAGCUCAAGGUGGGCAUCUACCUGUGAGUGCUGGAGAACUACGCGGGACGGCGACCAGGGGUUUAGGGAGAUCGCAGUGGGG